rnacentral:rRNA from 1 species
GCCUACGGGGGGCAGCAGUAGGGAAUCUUCCACGAUGGGCGAAAGCCUGAUGGAGCAACGCCGCGUGGGUGAAGAAGGUCUUCGGAUCGUAAAACCCUGUUGUUAGAGAAGAAAGUGCGUGAGAGUAACUGUUCACGUUUCGACGGUAUCUAACCAGAAAGCCACGGCUAACUACGUGCCAGCAGCCGCGGUAAUACGUAGGUGGCAAGCGUUAUCCGGAUUUAUUGGGCGUAAAGGGAACGCAGGCGGUCUUUUAAGUCUGAUGUGAAAGCCUUCGGCUUAACCGGAGUAGUGCUUUGGAAACU